rnacentral:rRNA from 1 species
GACGUAGGGCGCGAGCGUUAUCCGGAUUUACUGGGUUUAAAGGGUGUGUAGGCGGGCUUUUAAGUCAGUGGUGAAAUCUCCGGGCUCAACCUGGAAACUGCCAUUGAUACUAUUAGUCUUGAAUUUUGUUGAGGUAGGCGGAAUAAGUCAUGUAGCGGUGAAAUGCAUAGAUAUGACUUAGAACACCAAUUGCGAAGGCAGCUUGCUAAACAAAUAUUGACGCUGAGGCACGAAAGCGUGGGGAUCAAACAGG